rnacentral:rRNA from 1 species
UACGUAGGGUGCAAGCGUUGUCCGGAAUUAUUGGGCGUAAAGAGCUCGUAGGCGGUUUGUCGCGUCUGCUGUGAAAACCCGAGGCUCAACCUCGGGCCUGCAGUGGGUACGGGCAGACUAGAGUGCGGUAGGGGGAGAUUGGAAUUCCUGGUGUAGCGGUGGAAUGCGCAGAUAUCAGGAGGAACACCAAUGGCGAAGGCAGAUCUCU